rnacentral:rRNA from 1 species
UACGAAGGGGGCUAGCGUUGCUCGGAAUCACUGGGCGUAAAGCGCACGUAGGCGGAUCUUUAAGUCGGGGGUGAAAUCCUGGAGCUCAACUCCAGAACUGCCUUCGAUACUGGGGAUCUUGAGUCCGGGAGAGGUGAGUGGAACUGCGAGUGUAGAGGUGAAAUUCGUAGAUAUUCGCAAGAACACCAGUGGCGAAGGCGGCUCACUGGCCCGGUACUGACGCUGAGGUGCGAAAGCGUGGGGAGCAAACAGGGAUUAAGAAACC